UACGUAGGGUGCGAGCGUUGUCCGGAAUUACUGGGCGUAAAGGGUGCGUAGGCGGCGCGGUAAGUCGGGUGUGAAAUCUUGGAGCUUAACUCCGAAACUGCAUUCGAUACUGCCGUGCUUGAGGACUGGAGAGGAGACUGGAAUUUACGGUGUAGCGGUGAAAUGCGUAGAUAUCGUAAGGAAGACCAGUGGCGAAGGCGGGUCUCUGGACAGUUCCUGACGCUGAGGCACGAAGGCCAGGGGAGCAAACGGG
rnacentral:rRNA from 1 species